AUUGAACGCUGGCGGCGUGCCUUAUACAUGCAAGUCGAGCGAUCAGACGACUUCCUUUCUUCUCUGAUGUUAGCGGCGUACGUAUUAGUUACACAUGUAUCCCCUCCCUAUAAAUCUCGGAUCACUUCCUUUACUCAUACCUCAUACCGUCUAAUAUUUUUAACCGCAUGGUUCAAUAGUUUACGCCUUUUUUGCUGUCACUUAUAGAUUGAUUCACGGCUCAUUAGCUAGUUUGUCAGGUAACCGCUUACCAAGUCAACGAUGCGUAGCCGACCUGAGAGGAUGAUCAGCCACACUGGAACUGAGACACGGCCCAGACUCCUACGGGAGGCAGCAGUAGGGAAUCUUCCGCAAUGGGCGAAAGCCUGACGCAGCAACGCCGCGUGAGGGAUGAAGGUCUUCGGAUUGUAAAACGCUGUUAUAAGGGAAGAAAAGAUGUGGAAGAAACUAUGCACGACAUGACGGUACCGAAACAGAAAGCAACGGCUAACUACGUG
rnacentral:rRNA from 1 species